rnacentral:rRNA from 1 species
GAUGAACGCUGGCGGCGUGCCUAAUACAUGCAAGUCGAGCGAACAGACGAGGAGCUUGCUCCUUUGACGUUAGCGGCGGACGGGUGAGUAACACGUGGGUAACCUACCUAUAAGACUGGGAUAACUUCGGGAAACCGGAGCUAAUACCGGAUAAUAUUUCGAACCGCAUGGUUCGAUAGUGAAAGAUGGCUCUGCUAUCACUUAUAGAUGGACCUGCGCCGUAUUAGCUAGUUGGUAAGGUAACGGCUUACCAAGGCAACGAUACGUAGCCGACCUGAGAGGGUGAUCGGCCACACUGGAACGGAGACACGGUCCAGACUCCUACGGGAGGCAGCAGUAGGGAACCGUCCGCAAUGGGCGAAAGCCUGACGGAGCAACGCCGCGUGAGUGAUGAAGGUCUUCGGAGCGUAAAACUCUGUUAUUAGGGAAGAACAAACGUGUAAGUAACUGUGCACGUCUUGACGGUACCUAAUCAGAAAGCCACGGCUAACUACGUG